ensembl:snoRNA SCARNA14 small Cajal body-specific RNA 14
GUGGCCGUUCCUCCGAUGACUGCAGCGCGGAGGAGUGUGCUGCAGUCCAGGACGCCACAGACAGCAAAGCUGGUUCCUGCCGACAGGGCCUGUCGAGUCAUCGGGCUGCCUGUGCGAUGGUUCCACACACA